GCCGCGUGAAUGAUGAAGGUCUUAGGAUUGUAAAAUUCUUUCACCGGGGACGAUAAUGACGGUACCCGGAGAAGAAGCCCCGGCUAACUUCGUGCCAGCAGCCGCGGUAAUACGAAGGGGGCUAGCGUUGCUCGGAAUUACUGGGCGUAAAGGGCGCGUAGGCGGAUCGUUAAGUCAGGGGUGAAAUCCCGGGGCUCAACCUCGGAAUUGCCCUUGAUACUGGCGAUCUUGAGUAUGAGAGAGGUAUGUGGAACUCCGAGUGUAGAGGUGAAAUUCGUAGAUAUUCGGAAGAACACCAGUGGCGAAGGCGACAUACUGGCUCAUUACUGACGCUGAGGCGCGAAAGCGUGGGGAGCAAACAGGAUUAGAUACCCUGGUAGUCCACGCCGUAAACGAUGAUUGCUAGUUGUCGGGCUGCAUGCAGUUCGGUGACGCAGCUAACGCAUUAAGCAAUCCGCCUGGGGAGUACGGUCGCAAGAUUAAAACUC
rnacentral:rRNA from 2 species